AGUGAACGCUGGCGGUAGGCCUAAUACAUGCAAGUCGAACGGCAGCACAGUAAGAGCUUGCUCUUACGGGUGGCGAGUGGCGGACGGGUGAGGAAUACAUCGGAAUCUACUUUUUCGUGGGGGAUAACGUAGGGAAACUUACGCUAAUACCGCAUACGACAUACGGGGGAAAGCAGAGGAUCUUCGGACCUUGCGCGAUUGAAUGAGCCGAUGUCGGAUUAGCUAGUUGGCGGGGUAAAGGCCCACCAAGGCGACGAUCCGUAGCUGGUCUGAGAGGAUGAGCAGCAACACUGGAACUGAGACACGGUCCAGACUCCUACGGGAGGCAGCAGUGGGGAAUAUUGGCCAAUGGGCGAAAGCCUGAUCCAGCCAUACCGCGUGCGUGAAGAAGGCCUUCGGGUUGUAAAGCCCUGUUAUUACGAAAGAAAAGAAGCAGGAUAAUACCCCGCUGUUCUGACGGUACCCAAAGAGUAAGCACCGGCUAACUUCGUG
rnacentral:rRNA from 1 species